GGUGGAUAUUUUAUUGAUCUAUAUGGAUCUUUAUGAAAAAUGAAGGUUCCUGUUCGGGCAUCGGGUUCACAGCCCUACUUGUGAGCUUCCGAGUUUAAACCUUUAUUUUACUCCGUUUGCUCGGGGGGAGGGCCCGGGGGAGUGGUGGGGGAUAGCAAAAUGCGCCACUAAGGAUGUAAGAGGUGGGCUACAAGGAUAGCUAUGAGAGUAGUGUGAAAAUCUACGGAUAUCAGCGAGCAUUAUCUAGGCAGCGUGGCGGUAAUCCACGCGCUAAGGCCACUCGUGGUUCCGUGGGCGCGCGGGUUCUAGCAUGUUCUGCGCUCUUCUAUCGCCACCUAACUAUUCCUAAUAUAGAUAUUUCCGUUACUCCUAUUACAAAGGACAACUUUUUUUUUAUUAUUUGAAUUAGAAACUGCUG
rnacentral:sRNA from 1 species